rnacentral:misc_RNA from 1 species
UUCAAAUUUAGGUAUUUCGAAUGAUAUAUAAAGAAAUAGCGUGAGCUUUUCACAGCUUCAAAUUUAAUUAGCCCUCUAGCGUCUUAUUUCUCACAUCCUUCUUCUUGUUAACAAAGGUAACAACAUGGAUGCCUUUUCUUCCUCUUUCCUCUGUUCUGUGCAAACUUCAAAACUCUUUCUCAGCCCUAAGAUCACCAUCCCCAAUUCAUUUCCUUUUCCUCAUCUCCAUCCUUUCAAUGUGUCAUCUGUUAGAAUUGAAGAAAAACCUCAACCCACAACUACAAGACCUACCACCACCAAAAGAACAUCUAAUACUACUACUCCACCCGUCACAACUAGUACUAAGUCGUCGUCAUUGUCGCAGCCGCCUCCUUCUGCAGCAGCAGCUGGGGCAAAGAGAAGAGUAAAACCCACCCUACCAGCUAUGGUAUUCAGUGCCUUGGAUGAUGUAAUCAACAACUUCAUAGAUCCUCCAAUCCGGUCAUCAGUGGAUCCUAGAUACAUACUUUCCAACAACUUUGCUCCCGUUGAUGAGCUUCCUCCAACUGAGUGUGAGGUGAUAGAGGGAUCUCUUCCAUCAUGCCUUGAUGGUGCUUAUAUUCGUAAUGGUCCGAACCCACAGUACCUGCCUCGAGGACCUUACCACCUAUUUGAUGGAGAUGGCAUGCUUCACUCCAUCAGAAUCUCUCAAGGCAAGGCCAUUCUCUGCAGCCGAUAUGUCAAGACAUAUAAAUACACUACGGAGCGUGAUGCUGGUGCUUCGCUUCUUCCAAAUGUCUUCUCUGGAUUCAAUGGCCUGGUUGCCUCUGCAGCCCGUGGAGCUCUCUCCGCUGCUCGAAUUCUUUCCGGUCAAUUCAAUCCUGCAAAUGGCAUUGGUCUAGCAAACACCAGCCUGGCUAUGUUUGGCGAUAAACUCUAUGCACUUGGUGAGUCUGAUCUACCUUAUGCUGUGCGUUUGACAUCAAAUGGGGAUAUUGAGACUCUGGGUCGCCAUGAUUUUGAUGGAAAGUUGUUCUUUAGCAUGACUGCUCACCCCAAGAUAGACUUUCAGACAGGAGAGACCUUUGCUUUUCGAUAUGGUCCUGUUCCUCCAUUUUUAACGUACUUUCGCUUCGAUUCAAAUGGAAAUAAACAGCCAGAUGUGCCUAUAUUUUCCAUGAUGCAACCAUCUUUCCUUCACGACUUCGCUAUUAGCAAGAAGUAUGCUAUAUUUGCAGACAUACAAAUUGGGAUGAACCCCACGGAAAUGAUCUUCAGAGGAGGCUCUCCGGUGGGUUCAGACCCAGCAAAAGUAUCAAAAAUCGGAGUCAUCCCGCGAUAUGCAACCGACGAGUCAGAAAUGAGAUGGUUCGAUGUGCCUGGGUUCAACAUUAUACACGCCAUCAAUGCAUGGGAUGAAGACGAUGCUAUUGUCAUUUUGGCGCCCAACAUUUUAUCGGUAGAACAUACAAUGGAGAGAAUGGAGCUUGUCCAUGCCUUGGUGGAGAAGGUGAGAAUAGACUUGAAAACUGGCAUAGUUACAAGAAACCCAAUUUCAGCCAGAAAUCUAGACUUUGGAGUGAUAAAUCCUGCAUAUGUUGGGGAAAAGAACAGAUUCAUAUAUGCAGCCAUAGGUGAUCCAAUGCCAAAGAUUUCAGGGGUGGUGAAGCUGGAUGUGUCAAAAGGGGGGCGCCAGGAGUGCACGGUGGCUAGUAGGUUGUUCGGGCCAAGAUGCUAUGGUGGUGAGCCUUUCUUUGUGGCGAGAGAGCCUGAAAAAUCAGGGGCAGAAGAGGAUGAUGGGUAUGUGGUGUCAUAUGUUCAUGAUGAGAUUGCUGGAGAGUCCAAGUUCUUGGUGAUGGAUGCGAAGUCGCCAAAUCUUGAUAUUGUGGCUGCUGUCAAGCUGCCCCGGCGAGUUCCUUAUGGCUUCCACGGACUUUUUGUGAGGGAAAGUGACCUGAAAAAGCUGUAGCUACUCAUGUUUCUAUGGGAAGGAAACUUUUACCUAUAGUAACCCUACAGGGAUGACCAAUCAUAUGGGUGAAAUUCUUAGGUGAAUCUCCUUAUGGAGUGGAUUUUACUUACAAGAUGGAGUUCAUUUCAUAUAAGUGGUGGCACAUGUGUAAACGAUAGAAAAAUAUACAUGGUAAAAUUAGUAAAUAUACAUAUGGGAAUGAACAAUACUGAAUUUUUCUUAUCACAAGACUUACUUUUCUUUAGAUUUAUUAUUGACAUUAAUUUGUAAUUAUUUCUUAUAUAUAUGUAGUUUUCAUGGAAG